rnacentral:rRNA from 1 species
GACGAACGCUGGCGGCGUGCUUAACACAUGCAAGUCGAACGGAAAGGCCCUGCUUUUGUGGGGUGCUCGAGUGGCGAACGGGUGAGUAACACGUGAGUAACCUGCCCUUGACUUUGGGAUAACUUCAGGAAACUGGGGCUAAUACCGGAUAGGAGCUCCUGCUGCAUGGUGGGGGUUGGAAAGUUUCGGCGGUUGGGGAUGGACUCGCGGCUUAUCAGCUUGUUGGUGGGGUAGUGGCUUACCAAGGCUUUGACGGGUAGCCGGCCUGAGAGGGUGACCGGCCACAUUGGGACUGAGAUACGGCCCAGACUCACACGGGAGGCAGCAGUGGGGAAUAUUGCACAAUGGGCGGAAGCCUGAUGCAGCAACGACGCGUGCGGGAUGACGGCCUUCGGGUUGUAAACCGCUUCCGCCUGUGACGAAGCGUGAGUGACGGUAAUGGGUAAAGAAGCACCGGCUAACUACGUG